UCUCAUUUCACAAUGCUUCAAUUUUAACGUCCCCAGAUGGUGAGAAAACAAAGAGCAGAACAACAGUGCUCAGUUUUGUUAACCCUGUCUGGUUGUAUUUUAGAACUGAGAACACUACAAGCACCGAUCUUCAUUAACUCGUUGUUAGAGGAGAAGAAAUCAGAGGCCACAAAGGAGAGACAGGGAACCAGAGCUGAUCUUGCCACCAUCUCCACAUUCACAGAGAGAGAGACAUGGAAGAGAAGCCAAAACACUUUGUGCCUGGUCAUUGGACGUGGAGAGUUGGAGAUCUCUCACUGACUUGGUGAUAAAAUGAAAUAUCAAACAGCCAUGCAGAUGAAAACAUUUACUCUGGUUAAAUUGAUGGUAGCAGCGAUUGAAGUAGGAUAACAUCAUCAAGACAUUGUAGCAUGGAAAGAGGUCAUUUGGCCCAUCAGGUCCAUGCCAGGUUUCUGGACAGGAAUCCAAUCAGUCCUUUCCCCUGUUCAAUCCCUACUGUUGUGCAAUUUCAAGUGUCCUUCCAAUUUCCUUUCAAAAUCGAUCAGGAUUUGUUUCCUUCCACCAUCUUCAUAGGCAACCGGUUACAGGUGGCUACCGCUACCUGUGUAAAAUUGUUCUCCCGCUGCACUCCAUCUCUUGCCCAAAAUGACUGUGCCCCACCCCUACCCCCGCCAGUCCUCAUUGUAUCAUCACAUGGGAACAGCUUAUCUUUGACUACCUUAUCAAAACCUGCCACCUGCUUAUACACCUCUAUCAAAUAGCUCCUCAAUCUCCUUUGAGCCAAGAAAAAUAACCCCAACUUCUCCAACCUCGAUUUACCUGAAUUACUCCAACAAAAAUUGAUUUUAUAAAUUAUGAGGACAACAUUGUUGUAUGGACUCCAAAAGAUCAUGACAAAGGCUGCUUGCUGCAUGAUGGGAAAAGCUGGGGGGAAUGUUCUGGAAGGGUCCACUCCCUUCAUGCACGGGACAUUGGGAGGUGUCAGUACUCGGUGGGUGGGUGGUGCGAUUCCAGGCCAGUUGCAGGGAUUAAGCAGCUUAGAGUUUCCAAACCCAGGUGUUGGAGAUGCUGAGGUCAGUUUAUCAUUGGAGAGCUAUUGAAGCAUCUCACGUCAAUGGAUUCCAAUGAAGGGUCUGAGGAAUAUGGUAAAAAUGUGAAAUGGAGUUUCAUCAACAGGUUGUGCUUGUUGUGUGUUUCUGUGUGAGUGAACAGGUCUGUGUGGGUAAUUGGAGCCAAGGAACCUAUAAUGUAAUACACGCCCAUGUUCCAGCAUCUUGCUCCCUGGAGACAAACUGGGCUGGUUUUUGAUUGAACAAUCUCAGCUGCUCGUUUCACAGUCAGAGAAGAAAGCACGUCGAGCACUGUUCUCUAUCAACUCACCGGUGAACGUUUUGGUGAAGCACAAAUUUGCAUUUUGAUCAACAUAAUGAGUGCCACACAGAAGGAGUCGUUGAAAGUGAAUCUUGAUCAGCUUCAAUGUCACUUCACGUGGAAUCCAAAGAAAAAAAACAUUGACUUGGAUGAUCUGAAACAAAGAUUAGAAGAUUCAAUACAGACAAGCGUGAAACCUCAAGCCAGAUCGUACAACCAACUUGCUUUUAUAAACUGUC